GAUGAACGCUGGCGGCGUGCCUAAUACAUGCAAGUCGAGCGAACGGACGAGAAGCUUGCUUCGCGCAUGUUAGCGGCGGACGUGUGAGUAACACGUGUAUACCCUACCUAUAAGACUGGGAUAACUUCGGGAAACCGGAGCUAAUACCGUAGGAUAUUUUGAACCACAUGGUUCAAAAGUGAAAGACGGUCUUGCUGUCACUUAUAGAUGGAUCCGCGCUGCAUUAGCUAGUUGGUAAGGUAACGGCUUACCAAGGCAACGAUGCAUAGCCGACCUGAGAGACUGAUAGCCCACACUAGAGCUGAAACGCGGACCAGACUACUGCGGGAGGCAGCAGUAGGGAAUCUUCCGCAACGGUCGAAAGCCUGACGGAGCAACGCCACGCCAGUGAUGACGGUCUUCGGAUCGUAAAACCCUGUUAUUAGGGAAGAACAUAUGUGUACGUAACUGUGCACAUCUUGACGGUACCUAAUCAGAAAGCCACGGCUAACUACGUG
rnacentral:rRNA from 1 species